rnacentral:lncRNA from 1 species
GUAUGUAUAUAUGUAACGACCUCAUGUGUUCGUUAGUUUGCUCGCCUGUUUGUUCUCCUGUUUGUUCGUCUGUUCGCCUGUGAAUUCAUUCCUUUAUUUGUUUGUUUAUUAUUUUGUUCUCUUGUUUGUUCGUCUGUUUGUUCGCAUGUUUAUUCAUUCCUUUAUUGUUUGUUCGUCUGUUUAUUCAUUCCUUUAUUUGUUUGUGCGUCUGUUUAUUCAUUCUUUUAUUUGUCUGUCCGUUAGUUCGUUCGUUUUUUUGUUCGUUUGUUUUUACCAACUUGUUAAUGCACUUACCUGGGUAAAAAAUAUGAAUAUGAAAAAACAAAAUAAUUUCAAGCAAUGUAAGGAAAAUUUAGUUUUUUUAGAAAAACAAAAACUAACUGAAAUGGAAAAUUCUGAAGACAUAUAUUCUAAUACCAUUGUAGCAGAAUGUGAGGAUAAUGUCAUUUCAGAUAAAACAGAUAGAACCACAAAUAAAUAUAUAGUAAAAAACAACCAAUGUAUUUUUCAUGAUAAUAAAAGUAAUGGAAAUGUGGAUCAUCAUCACCAUAUUGAAUAUAGCAAUCGUGAUAGGUGUAACAACCAUAAUGAUGAUAAUAAAUUAGGUUUAAUUAAUGAAUGUUAUGGUGAAAAAACAAAUAACAAGUUCAUUCACAGAAUGAACAAUAAUAACAAUAGCUACUUUAAAAACACUACCAGUUGUAACGAAUCGUGUGGUACAUCAGCAUGUUAUACUAAAGAACACAGUAUACAAAAUGACAGUUACUCUAAGGAUAAAAAUAUAUAUAAAAGUUAUAAUAAUAUAAUACAAAAUGGUUUAAUUAGCUGCAGUGAUAGUACCUCUAACAAUGUAAGUGAUACGUACAAAGUGUUAUUAAAUGUUUGUUUAGAUGAAAUAAAAAAAUGUUUAGGUGAUCAAGAUAUUAGUGAAUCACACAUAAAUGGGUAUCAUACAGGUCAUUAUAACACGAGUAAACAACACGAAUGUCACUACCAAAUGAAUGAACAAAUUACUGAUA